rnacentral:lncRNA from 1 species
CCUUAUUCUAGGUUGAGUAAUUCGUCAUUCCUGCGUUCAACUCCCUUAUAAUCUAGAAGAAAAGAUCUAGACAUGAAUAACUGGAGUUCAGUCCUGCCUUUCUUAGGUCCCCAUCAAUAUAUCAGUGUCUUGAAGGAAUUAAUGACUUGGGAAAAUGCAGAGAAGGAAGAGCAGUUGAGGAUUGACCCAGCAAAAUUCCCCUCUAGAUUUUUCAGUGUGACUGAUGGCACACUCCCAGAACUUGAUUAGAUGUAAGAAAUUCAGGUCAGGCCAGUAGAGAGACCAGCAUCUUUGUGGUUAUGUCUUUGUCUGUAGUUAAUUCUCUUCUCCAUGAAGCUGGUCCCUUCCUUUUUGAAUCCCUCUCCCUGAAACCCGCAGCACAUAUUCUCACCUGUUCUUCCUCUUAAAUCUCCCCUGCUACCCUCCUCCAGACCGGUUACACAGAGCCUUGAAUCCUGCCAUCACCACUGCCCUCGUCAUCACCCGCCCGCAUCUUGAAGCAUCCUCCAGCUCUCUCUUGAUGAAAGUGUCUCCCCUCCACCUUCCAACGUUUGAACCUUCCCCAUCUUUACAGUGAAACAGGCCUUCUCUUGUCCCUGCUACAUGGAAAGUUGAAUAGUGGUGAGGCCUCAGACCCUUCCCAGGCAUCUCAGCACAUCUUCUAAGGAUCCUAAAUCUGUCCGCGCAAGGAAAUUUCUUUUUCAGUCCUCUGAAGUGGUACAAUCCAAAGGACAUCAUUUAUCUCCUUUGACAAGGCCCACUGAGCUCCAAUAUUCCAUGAACUCAAGAGCUGGCAAAGGGCAGCUGGGCCCAGCCCCAUUGUCCCUGGGUUCUUUUUUGCUGAGCUCUUUGUUCCAAGUUCCAUUCUGCUACCUAGGCUGGAAAUUCCACACAUGCUCAGCUCAAAGGAAUGCAGCUCACGCUGGCCAGAGCCCUUGCCAGGAAAUGGGGAGCAAACUUUUCAUUUGUGGCUUCUUGUCUUUUGUGGCUUCCUCCCUCACAUCUGUGAGGCAGACUAUGCCACUGCCUGAGCUAGUCCACCAACCUCUUCUAAUUGGGGAGCAACUACUCUCAGGUCACCUCUCUGGGAAGCCCCUGUUGCCUUCUUCAGGCAGCCUGGUUCCUGACCUUUAAAGAUCCAAAGAUCUUUCUUCUGGUAUGGUAUUUGAUGGCUUCCUGGUAUUUUCUUGAUUUGUUUGUUGUUUAACCAUACUCAUUCAUUCCCUUAUUCAUUUAUAUAAAACAUUUAUUUAAUGAGCACCUACUGUAUGCCAGGUCCUAUGAUGGGAGUCAAGGAUUACAAAGUCAGAUAUAGGCUCUACCCUCACAGAGCUUACUGUAUGGGGGUAAGCUGGUAGCCAGAAGCAGACACACAAGUAUACAUACGAUUAUAGCACACUCCAAAGCCGUGCAGCUAGGAAUGGUGUUGGGCAGACAGCCUACAUCACACAGGCGUUUGACUGAUGUUUGUAAUAUGUCAAAUGUCUCCAUUAGUCCCCAGUUUUCUACAUUAACAGAGGAAUGCACAAACCGUCAACUAUCUAAAAGUGUUCCUCAAAAUUGUUCCUCGUUGGCUUCAGAACACAUACUCUGUCACAUAUAACAAAGAAUUCGACCUUCUCUCUCAACCUCAAGUCCCUCCUUAGCUCAUCCCUGACAUUAAGGCCUUAGUUAGAGGAUGAAUGGACAGCAAGAGGAAUGAGGCCCCAGACCAGUGGCUACCCAAAAAAGCCUGUUUCCAGAAAGAGGUAAAGGGCUUCCAUUCAUGACGGCCAGCCCCCCCCCCCACCCCCGCCCCCAGGCACAAACACAUGCACCUACCACCAAGGCUUGCAAAAGGGAGUUGGAAUUGUUAAGCCCACCCCUAAUGGAUCUGGACUGCUGUUACCUGAACCACAUGAAGUUGCUUCUUUUUGUGUGUGUGAGGAAGAUUAGCCCUGAGCUAACAUCAGCUGCCAAUCCUCCUCUUUUUUUGCUGAGGAAGACUGGCCCUGAGCUAACAUCCAUGCCCAUCUUCCUCCACUUUGUAUGUGGGACGCCUACCACAGCAUGGCUUUUGCCAACCAGUGCCGUGUCCGCACCCGAGAUCUGAACCGGAGAACCCCAGGCCACCAAAGCGGAACACGCACACUUAACCGCUGCACCACUGGCUGGCCCUGAAGUUGCUUCUAUUUGACUGUUUUUGACUUACCAAAACAGCAGUUUCCUCAACCUAAUAUAUCUGAGAAUAAACAAAAAAGUUUUUUAAGUGAAUGAAGAGCUGGGGAACAACCAACCUCCCCAUCAAGGCGACCUCCCUAAUGGAAUCUCAGGGAGGCAGGGCUGGAAUGUGAUGCUAAUUGAAUGAUCUGCUCGGCAACCUAAUCAAGUACAUUGUUUGGAGAAUGCAUGAAACAACGAUUAGGGAUGAGGCUGGCGAAUAGAAAGAGGAAGGAAAAAGAAGCAGGGUAAAGCCAAGAGGCCCAAAGUUGACACUUACCCACCAGUGUCCAGGAGGAAAGCAACUCGAAAUUGGAGCUCACACAGAGGUGCCCUGCUGUGAGGCAGAGCUGACUGACUAAGUCCCACCCUGACUUGGAUGAAUUCUGCCUCCCUUAACUCCCGGGAUACACUCACCAACCAGCCCACUGAUGACUGAUUUGGCUCCUUGGGAUUGCUGAUAUUGGGAAAAGGAUACCCCAGUUGAGGGAGGAACAUUCCAAUUAUUGAAGAACCAACACUGUUAAUGAACACAUGGGUAUCUGGUUAUACACUUCAGCUUCUUACGAGUUGGAUUGAUGGGAGCCAGUCUCCUCUAAGCAGAUGAACUUCAGGACGUUGAUUUGGCUGUGAAACAGGUUCAGCUCUGUGAUGUGAAAUUAUCCGGCAUUUUCUGCUUUUGACUCAGAGCCACCCCAGUGCUGGUUACCAGGUCUAGGGCCUUGUGGAGAUGACUGGAAGGCCGGGCUCAGCUGGAAUUAUAGACCACGAGGAGGUGAAUCACCGGAAGAGAACUCCCGAUGUGCAAAUGCGUGCAGCGUGAAAGUCAGAGCAAGUACUGCAGAUAACAAGGUGCUUUGGAGCAUCAAACGAAAGAGAGCUUGCAUCCGUCUGGGAGAGUCUGAAGGUCUUCAUCUGGACCUUAAAGGGUAUGAAAGAGUUCCCAGGCCAAGUUGGGAUGGAAGGCAUCUUAGAGGAAAUAAAAAAGCAGUAGCAAAGGCACCAAUGUGGGGAAAUACGGGACCUGUUUGGAGAUGAAGGAGUAAAUAAAUUUGGAAUGAGGUAUAGUCACC